AGCGGCGGACGGGUGAAUAACGCGUGGGUAACCUGCCUCAUACAGGGGGAUAACAGUUAGAAAUGACUGCUAAUACCGCAUAAGACCACAGCACCGCAUGGUGCGGGGGUAAAAACUCCGGUGGUAUGAGAUGGACCCGCGUCUGAUUAGCUGGUUGGUAAGGUAACGGCUUACCAAGGCGACGAUCAGUAGCCGACCUGAGAGGGUGACCGGCCACAUUGGGACUGAGACACGGCCCAA
rnacentral:rRNA from 1 species